UACGGGGGGAGCAAGCGUUGUUCGGAUUUACUGGGCGUAAAGGGCGCGUAGGCGGCCACCGCAAGUCGACUGUGAAAUCUCCGGGCUUAACCCGGAAAGGUCAGCCGAUACUGCGGGGCUAGAGUGCAGAAGGGGCAGCUGGAAUUCUCGGUGUAGCGGUGAAAUGCGUAGAUAUCGAGAGGAACACCAGUGGCGAAGGCGGCUGUCUGGGCCAGUUCUGACGCUGAGGCGCGAAAGCGUGGGGAGCAAACAGG
rnacentral:rRNA from 1 species